UACGGAGGGGGCUAGCGUUGUUCGGAAUUACUGGGCGUAAAGCGCACGUAGGCGGCUUUGUAAGUUAGAGGUGAAAGCCCGGGGCUCAACCCCGGAAUUGCCUUUAAGACCGCAUCGCUAGAAUUGUGGAGAGGUGAGUGGAAUUCCGAGUGUAGAGGUGAAAUUCGUAGAUAUUCGGAAGAACACCAGUGGCGAAGGCGACUCACUGGACACAUAUUGACGCUGAGGUGCGAAAGCGUGGGGAGCGAACAGG
rnacentral:rRNA from 1 species